rnacentral:misc_RNA from 1 species
GAUGAAGAACGCAGCGAAAUGCGAUACUUGGUGUGAAUUGCAGAAUCCCGUGAACCAUCGAGUCUUUGAACGCAAGUUGCGCCCGAAGCCAUUAGGCCGAGGGCACGCCUGCCUGGGCGUCACACGUCGUUGCCCCCCCCAUCUACUCCUUCGGGAUUGCGGUGGGCGGAUGAUGGCCUCCCGUGCGCCUCGCCGCGCGGUUGGCAUAAAUGCCAAGUCCUCGGCGACGCACGCCACGACAAUCGGUGGUUGCGAAACCUCGGUUGCCCGUCGUGUGCGGUCGUCGCGCAUCGAGGGCUCGAAAAAAUUGCCGAGUUCCGGCUCGGCUUUCAACGCGACCCCAGGUCAGGCGGGGUUACCCGCUGAAUUUAAGCAUAUCAAUAAGCGGAGGA